rnacentral:rRNA from 1 species
UACGAGGGGAGCGAGCGUUGUCCGGAUUCAUUGGGCGUAAAGAGCUCGUAGGCGGCUUGGUAAGUCGGAUGUGAAACCUCCAGGCUCAACCUGGAGUCGCCAUCCGAUACUGCUAUGGCUUGAGUCCGGUAGGGGACCACGGAAUACCUGGUGUAGCGGUGAAAUGCGCAGAUAUCAGGUGGAACACCGGUGGCGAAGGCGGUGGUCUGGGCCGGAACUGACGCUGGAGGAGCGAAAGCGUGGGGAGCGAACAGG